UAGCGUAAUCACUUGUUCUUUAAUUGAGGACUAGUAUGAAUGGCCCCACGAGGACUAAACUGUCUCCUUUUUCUGAUCAAUGAAACUGAUCUCCUCGUGAAGAAGCGAGGAUAAACAUAUAAGACGAGAAGACCCUAUGGAGCUUUAAACAAUAGAGAUUUGCUAAAUUUAAACUUUAUUUCUGAAAACUAAACAAAUUUAAGCAUUUUACUCUUAAGUUUUAGGUUGGGGUGACCACGGAGAAAAAAUUAACCUCCACGUUGUAAGAGGCCUCUCGGCUUCUAAGCUAAAAGCCACAGCUUAAAGCAUCAACACAUUGACUCUCAUUGACCCAAUAAUUUGACCAACGAACCAAGUUACCCUAGGGAUAACAGCGCAAUCUACUUUGAGAGCCCAUAUCGACAAGUAGGUUUACGACCUCGAUGUU
rnacentral:rRNA from 1 species